GGACUACCCGGGUAUCUAAUCCUGUUUGCUACCCACGCUUUCGUGCCUCAGCGUCAGUUCUAUGCCAGGGGGUUGCCUUCGCCAUUGGUGUUCCUCCAAAUCUCUACGCAUUUCACUGCUACACUUGGAAUUCCACCCCCCUCUCACAAACUCUAGAUAUGCAGUCUUAAAAGCAGUUCCCAGGUUAAGCCCGGGCAUUUCACCCCUAACUUACAUAUCCGCCUGCGCACCCUUUACGCCCAGUUAUUCCGAUUAACGCUCGCACCCUACGUAUUACCGCGGCUGCUGGCAC
rnacentral:rRNA from 1 species